AUUGAACGCUGGCGGCGUGCUUAACACAUGCAAGUCGUGCGGUAACAGGCGUAGCAAUACGUGCUGACGAGCGGCGAACGGGUGCGUAAUACAUAGGAAUCUGCCUUUUAGUGGGGAAUAACCCGGCGAAAGCCGGGCUAAUGCCGCAUAAGAUCUUCGGAUGAAAGGCGGGGGAUCGUAAGACCUCGCGCUGAUAGAUGAGCCCAUGCCGGAUUAGCUAGUUGGUGAGGUAACGGCUCACCAAGGCGACGAUCCGUAGCUGGUCUGAGAGGACGGCCAGCCACACUGGGACUGAGACACGG
rnacentral:rRNA from 1 species